ACAAGUUUAAAUCUUGCCCUCUGACACUGGCUCAGCUCAAUAAAAACAAACCGCACUCUGAGCAGGCAUGAAUGUUUGGCUUCUUCAAGUAAAGAGAGUGGUAUUUUAACAGGCACCAAGCAAGAAGUCUGAAGAGAAUGCUGGAGAAGUCUAUUUUCAUGAUCCAUUUUAUUAUUAAUACUGCACAUAUCUACACAGCCAGAAAAAGCUUAAAAUCAGUAAAGGACAUCAGUGGCUUGGAAUCUGAAAGGGCAUAACACAAAAGGAAAAAGGAAUCAGGAAGAAA